GUGGGGAAUUUUGCGCAAUGGGGGAAACCCUGACGCAGCAACGCCGCGUGGAGGAUGAAAUCCCUUGGGAUGUAAACUCCUUUCGAUCGGGACGAUUAUGACGGUACCGGAAGAAGAAGCCCCGGCUAACUUCGUGCCAGCAGCCGCGGUAAUACGAGGGGGGCAAGCGUUGUUCGGAAUUAUUGGGCGUAAAGGGUGCGUAGGCGGUUUGACAAGUUCUAUGUGAAAUCUUUGGGCUCAACCCAUAGUCUGCAUGGAAAACUGUCGGGCUUGAGAAUGGGAGAGGUGAGUGGAAUUUCCGGUGUAGCGGUGAAAUGCGUAGAUAUCGGAAGGAACACCGGUGGCGAAAGCGGCUCACUGGACCAUUUCUGACGCUGAUGCACGAAAGCUAGGGGAGCAAACAGG
rnacentral:rRNA from 1 species